UAGGGAAUCUUCCGCAAUGGACGCAAGUCUGACGGAGCAACGCCGCGUGAGUGAAGAAGGAUUUCGGUUCGUAAAACUCUGUUGUUAGAGAAGAACAGCGCAUAGAGUAACUGUUAUGCGUGUGACGGUAUCUAACCAGAAAGCCACGGCUAACUACGUGCCAGCAGCCGCGGUAAUACGUAGGUGGCAAGCGUUGUCCGGAUUUAUAGGGCGUAAAGCGAGCGCAGGCGGUCAAUUAAGUCUGAUGUGAAAGCCCCCGGCUCAACCGGGGAGGGUCAUUGGAAACUGGUUGACUUGAGUGCAGAAGAGGAGAGUGGAAUUCCAUGUGUAGCGGUGAAAUGCGUAGAUAUAUGGAGGAACACCGGUGGCGAAAGCGGCUCUCUGGUCUGUAACUGACGCUGAGGCUCGAAAGCGUGGGGAGCGAACAGG
rnacentral:rRNA from 1 species